rnacentral:rRNA from 1 species
UGGGGAAUCUUGGACAAUGGGGGAAACCCUGAUCCAGCCAUGCCGCGUGAGCGAUGAAGGCCUUAGGGUUGUAAAGCUCUUUCGCUGGGGAAGAUAAUGACGGUACCCAGUAAAGAAGUCCCGGCUAACUCCGUGCCAGCAGCCGCGGUAAUACGGAGGGGACUAGCGUUGUUCGGAAUUACUGGGCGUAAAGCGCGCGUAGGCGGAUUGGAAAGUUGGGGGUGAAAUCCCGGGGCUCAACCCCGGAACUGCCUCCAAAACUAUCAGUCUAGAGUUCGAGAGAGGUGAGUGGAAUUCCGAGUGUAGAGGUGAAAUUCGUAGAUAUUCGGAGGAACACCAGUGGCGAAGGCGGCUCACUGGCUCGAUACUGACGCUGAGGUGCGAAAGCGUGGGGAGCAAACAGGAUUAGAUACCCCCGUAGUCC